CUCCGCCCCUCGAACUCUUGCGCAGGCGCAGUAGCCACCUGACGCCCCAGGAUCUUGCAACAGCUGGUCAGGUUGGAGUUCUCGGACUGUGCAGGUAAAUAUGCCAGUCCUCAUGAAUAAAACGGAUAUAUGUCUCAACUGACAACAUGGCCAACCCUCUCAAAUACGAAGUACUGAAUCUGUAUAAAAACCUUUUGUAUCUGGGAAAGGAAUACCCCAAAGGGGCUGACUAUUUUCGAACCCGACUCAAGAAAGCCUUCCUGAAAAACAAGGAAGUGAAGGAUCCAGAAGAAAUUAAAAAACUGAUUGCCAGAGGCCAAUUUGUCAUCAAAGAACUUGAAGCCUUGUACUUCCUCCGAAAAUACAGAGCUCUGAAACAACGAUACUACGAGGACAGUUGAACUCCAAGCAAUUGUGCAGUCUGAAAGAAAUCAGGGGUUGAGAGCAAAGACAGAGAGGAAUCUGCUACCAUCAGGAUGGUGACUUUACAUGCAUUUAACCGAUUAAAGGUUGCCUGCACUUCCAAUAUUUUAAGAAACAGCAGCUUAAAUGCAUCGAGACACCGUAAUUCCCAGAAUUCAUCUCUCUGGUUGCAUCAAGAUCAGCAAGAUGUUGCAUGAACUGGAACAAUGUGUCACCAGACUAAUAAGAAUUCAGCACCUGAACACAAUCAGAUCUGUGGAAAUCCUAUUUUUACCUGUUUGUGCAUCUUUGCAGGGCUGACUAAUCAA